rnacentral:rRNA from 1 species
UACGUAGGGUGCAAGCGUUGUCCGGAAUUAUUGGGCGUAAAGAGCUCGUAGGCGGUGCGUCGCGUCGGCCGUGAAAACCUGCAGCUUAACUGUGGGCGUGCGGUCGAUACGGGCAUCACUGGAGUUCGGCAGGGGAGACUGGAAUUCCUGGUGUAGCGGUGAAAUGCGCAGAUAUCAGGAGGAACACCGGUGGCGAAGGCGGGUCUCUGGGCCGAUACUGACGCUGAGGAGCGAAAGCGUGGGGAGCGAACAGG